UAAUACGAAGGGGGCAAGCGUUGUUCGGAUUUACUGGGCGUAAAGGGCGCGCAGGCGGCCCGCCAAGUCAGAUGUGAAAGCCCCGGGCUCAACCUGGGAACUGCAUUUGAGACUGGCGGGCUCGAGUUCGGGAGAGGAUGGUGGAAUUCCCAGUGUAGAGGUGAAAUUCGUAGAUAUUGGGAAGAACACCGGUGGCGAAGGCGGCCAUCUGGACCGAGACUGACGCUGAGGCGCGAAAGCGUGGGGAGCAAACAGGAUUAGAUACCCUGGUAGUCCACGCCGUAAACGAUGUGUGCUAGACGUCGGGGAGCCUAGCUCUUCGGUGUCGCAGCUAACGCUUUAAGCACACCGCCUGGGGAGUACGGCCGCAAGGUUA
rnacentral:rRNA from 1 species